CCCUACGGGGGGCAGCAGUGAGGAAUAUUGGUCAAUGGGAGAGAUCCUGAACCAGCCAAGCCGCGUGAGGGAAGACGGCCCUAUGGGUUGUAAACCUCUUUUGUCGGAGAACAAAACCCGGGACGUGUCCCGGACUGCGUGUAUCCGAAGAAAAAGCAUCGGCUAACUCCGUGCCAGCAGCCGCGGUAAUACGGAGGAUGCGAGCGUUAUCCGGAUUUAUUGGGUUUAAAGGGUGCGUAGGCGGUGCGGUAAGUCAGCGGUAAAAUUGCGGGGCUCAACCCCGUCGAUCCGUUGAAAAUGGCAGA
rnacentral:rRNA from 1 species